rnacentral:lncRNA from 1 species
AACUACGUCAUUUUGGCGCAUGCGCAGAUUCUGGUUGGCAGAAAGCAUUGCUUCUAAGCCGUGUUUAUGCGGUGGCAGAGCCAUAACAUAAACGUAAUGAGCCAUAAACAGGAAUAUAUACCAGUGCCACGAUGAAAAACUUCAAAUCGUUUCAAGCUUAUCAUGUAGAUCAGUGGACAUAUGUACCACGUCAUCAGGAGUCUAUCAAUAGUCUACAUGAGUCUAUCUAUGGUCUAUUGAUAGACUCCUGACGUCAUCACAGAAAAGACUUGGCAAAACAUGCAGCCACGUAGCAGCCCUGCUAUUCAAAGUCGACGUCAUCAACUAGUUGGGCAUGUGAAUGGAAUAAAUUAUUUCGCAAAGAAUUACAGCCAGUUACCAUCCCAGAUUCACAGGACACUUUAAAAGGUGCCAGAAA